GAAUCCCGUAUAUGGCAUGGACUACCGUUACUCUGUGAUACACUCUCGACGAGUCGAGUUGUUUGGGAAUGCAGCUCCAAAUGGGUGGUAAAUGCCAUCUAAAGCUAAAUAUUGGCGAGAGACCGAUAGCGAACAAGUACCGUGAGGGAAAGAUGAAAAGCACUUUGGAAAGAGAGUGAAACAGUACGUGAAAUUGUUGAAAGGGAAACGCUUGAAGUCAGUCGCGCCGUUCGGGAUUCAGCCUUGCUUCUGCUCGGUUUACUUCCCGUUGGGUGGGUCAACAUCAGUUUUGGUCGGAGGAGAAAGGCUUGGGGAAGGUGGCAGCAUUCGUGCUGUGUUAUAGCCCCUUGUUGUAUACUUCGACUGGGACUGAGGACCGCAGCACGCCUUUGGCCGGGGUUCGCCCACGUACGUGCUUAGGAUGUUGGCAUAAUGGCUUUAAGCGACCCGUCUUGAAACACGGACCAAGGAGUCUAACAUGUGCGCGAGUGUUUGAGUGUUAAACUCAGACGCGAAAUGAAAGUGAAAAGUUGGGAACACUCAUGUGUGCACCGACGCCCGGAGCUGACCUUCUGUGACGCAUCUGCGGUAGAGCGUAUAUGUUGGGACCCGGAAGAUGGUGAACUAUGCCUGAAUAGGGUGAAGCCAGAGGAAACUCUGGUGGAGGCUCGUAGCGAUUCUGACGUGCAAAUCGAUCGUCAAAUUUGGGUAUAGGGGCGAAAGACUAAUCGAACCAUCUAGUAGCUGGUUCCUGCC
rnacentral:rRNA from 1 species